rnacentral:lncRNA from 1 species
AACCAGUGAUAUUCCGUGUUUUUAACGGUUUUAAACUCGUUUUGGAGCAAUUAAAUGGUCGGUUUUAAUUAAUGUUUUGGUCUAUUUGAUGCGUUUUGGUGUUCUUAAGUGUAAUAUGCAGGUUACUAGAUAGCUUGAAAGAAAAGAACGCAUUCGGGAUUUAUUCAGAAGCAAGAUGGACCGAACAAUGGACCGAAUGAAGUAUUGAUCGCACAGAGCAC